GCCUCUGUAGUUCAGUCCGGUAGAACGCUUCCAUGGUAAGGAAGAGGCCAUGGGUCCAAAUCCCAUCAGAGGCU
rnacentral:tRNA from 1 species